GCGCGCCGGGCGGCGGCGGCGGCCCCCGAGCAGGAGCCGCCGGAGCAGGUGGGGGCGGCGGCCCCGCCUCCGAGUCCCGACAGCACUGGAGCUGGCGACCGGGGAGCGAGCGGGGCGCACGAGCGCAGCACCCAGCGCAGCUCGGCCGCGGAGGCGCCGCGUCGAGCACGGGCGCUGCGGGCCGGAGCCCGGAGCCGAGAGGCGGCGGCGGCGGGGACGUCGGCCGAAGCGCGGGUCCUGCCGGGCCCCCACUCGCGGGCUCGGCGGGUUGCAGCACGGCCAAGUGCAGAGCAGAAACAACUCCCUUGGGACCAUUCAUAGGCAAAAGACACCCACACCGUGACAUAUGCCGGUGCCACCACCGCCACCGCCACCUCCUCCUCCUCUGCCUCCACCUCCCCCUCCUCUGGGUGCUCCUCCCCCGCCCCUACCAUCAGCGCCCCCGGUAAGACCUGCUUUUCUGUUUGGUUCACUGUUGCAGUAAGCUGCUUGGAAAUGCUCGGGCA
rnacentral:lncRNA from 1 species